UACUGAAGAUGAUGCCACCAAAACAGGCCGAGAACGCCAUCCGCGGGUAGCCCUGGCGGGCCAGCGUGAGAUCUGAGAAGACAUCUGCGUGGAAACACGAGAAGGCCUUGAGGGGCAACUCUGAGGGUGUGACAUGCCACCACCAAUCUUUCACCCAUGUCCCGUCUGCUGCUAGCACACACAGUACCUCGGGGCAAAUGAGGAAAAGGGGCCCAAAAAGGCCAGCAGCGUGAGCCCGAGGACAGUGUUGCUCAGCCGGAAGACCACACCCAGGGACCGUAAGACGUUCACCACCUCCGUGGCAGCUGCGUUGAUCCACAGGGCGCUGGUCAGGAAGCCCAGGAAAGCAAAGAGCUGGGGGAGGGAACAGGGACACAGCCUUAGUUCCUCAGCUAUAAAAUGGGACAAUAACAGUACCUACUCCGUGAGGUUGUCAUGAGCAUAAAAUGAGUUAGUAGAUGCAAAGCAGUUAGAGCCUGGCAUAUAUUACGUGCUCAAUAAAAUGCUAGAUCAAUAUUACCAUUUUGUCAAAAAGGAGUUCACCAUAGCUUUCAUCAGAUUUCUAGUCUAUGGACCAAAUGCCAUCUCAUCACCAGAAAAAGAAACUCCAUACCCGUGAUCAGUCACUUCCCAGCCCACCCAACCUUCCUCCCAGCCCCUGGCAAUCACUCCCCUAUUUUCUGUCUCUCUGGAUUCGCUUAUUCUAGACAUGUCAUAGAAAUGGCCUCACACAAUAUGUGGUCCUUUGUGACUGGCCUCUUUCACUCAGCAUCAUGUUUUCAAGGUGCAUCCACCUUGGGACAUGUGUCAGUACUUCAAAGACUAGUAAGAAACACUGCCUAAGACCAUUUCUCUAAAUAAUCAAUUGGCUGAAAAUUCAACUUCCUUUGGGCUGGUACAUCCAUUCAGAGUUUCUGAAAAUAGAAACUAGAAUUUUUAAAAGCAAUAAUUAGGAAAAAAAAAGAAAAAAAUUAAGUAAACUUCUGAGGAAAAGGUCUCUGGACAAACUACCUAAAAUUUUUUUAACAUCCUGCAGAGGUGAGAGAAUGGGAAAAAAACACCCCCAAAGACCAAACAACUCCAUCACUGGAAUGUGAUUAUUAGGAACCCAGGUGCUUCCUAGUUAGGAUGGUGGAAAAGAGUCUGGUAGGUCUUUAAAAAGGUAAACAUACAGUUCACAUUUGACCCAGCAGUUCUACUUACUCCCAGGAAUACACCCAAGAGAAAUGAAAGAAUUAUUUCUACAGAAAAAAAUUUAAAGCAAUGGUCAUGGCAGCAUUAUUCAUAAUAUCUAAAAAGUGGGAAAAAAACCCAGGGUCCAUUAAUGGAUGAAUCGAUAAACAAAAUAUGCUAUAUCUGUAUAAUCGAAUAGUAUUCAACCAUGAAAAGGAAUGAAGUACUGAUACAUGUUACAACAUGGAUAAACCUUGAAAACAUUUUGCUAAGGGAAAGAGGGCAGUUAUAAAAGACCACAUAUUGUAUGAUUCCAUGUAUGUGAAAUAUAUAGAACAGGAAAAUCUAGAGAGGCAGACAGCAGACUCGUGGUGGCCAGGGGAUGGUGGGGAGGAUGGGGAGUGACUGCUACUGGGAACAGGGUUUCUUUUUGGGGUGAUGAAAAUGCUCUCAAAUUGUGGUGGUGGUUGCACAACUCUCUGAAUAUAAUGAACACCAUUAAAUUGUAUACCUCAAA